rnacentral:hammerhead_ribozyme from 1 species
ACACUGCUGAGGAGUCCCACAGUCACACAAUAGGACGAAACGGCCGUCCAGUAC